GACGAACGCUGGCGGCGUGCUUAACACAUGCAAGUCGAACGAUGAAGCCGGAGCUUGCUCUGGUGAAUUAGUGGCGAACGGGUGAGUAACACGUGAGUAACCUGCCCUUGACUCUGGGAUAACUGCGGGAAACUGUAGCUAAUACCGGAUACGACCCUCGGAGGCAUCUCCUGGGGGUGGAAAGAAUUUCGGUCAAGGAUGGACUCGCGGCCUAUCAGCUAGUUGGCGAGGUAAAGGCUCACCAAGGCGACGACGGGUAGCCGGCCUGAGAGGGUGACCGGCCACACUGGGACUGAGACACGGCCCAGACUCCUACGGGAGGCAGCAGUGGGGAAUAUUGCACAAUGGGCGCAAGCCUGAUGCAGCAACGCCGCGUGAGGGAUGACGGCCUUCGGGUUGUAAACCUCUUUUAGCAGGGAAGAAGCGAAAGUGACGGUACCUGCAGAAAAAGCACCGGCUAACUACGUGCCAGCAGCCGCUGUAA
rnacentral:rRNA from 1 species